rnacentral:rRNA from 1 species
GACGAACGCUGGCGGCGUGCUUAACACAUGCAAGUCGAACGGAAAGGCCCUGCUUGCAGGGUACUCGAGUGGCGAACGGGUGAGUAACACGUGGGUGAUCUGCCCUGCACUUCGGGAUAAGCCUGGGAAACUGGGUCUAAUACCGGAUAGGAGCCAUUUUUAGUGUGAUGGUUGGAAAGUUUUUUCGGUGUAGGAUGAGCUCGCGGCCCAUCAGCUUGUUGGUGGGGUAAUGGCCUACCAAGGCGGCGACGGGUAGCCGGCCUGAGAGGGUGGACGGCCACAUUGGGACUGAGAUACGGCCCAGACUCCUACGGGAGGCAGCAGUGGGGAAUAUUGCACAAUGGGCGCAAGCCUGAUGCAGCGACGCCGCGUGGGGGAUGACGGCCUUCGGGUUGUAAACUCCUUUCGCUAGGGACGAAGCUUUUUGUGACGGUACCUAGAUAAGAAGCACCGGCUAACUACGUG